rnacentral:rRNA from 1 species
AGCGAACGCUAGCGGCGGGCCUAACACAUGCAAGUCGAGCGCAUACCUUCGGGUAUGAGCGGCGGACGGGUGAGUAACACGUAGGUAAUCUACCCUUUGGUGGGGAAUAACCCGGGGAAACUCGGGCUAAUGCCGCACGAGGUCUACGGAUCAAAGCCUUCGGGCGCCAGAGGAUGAGCCUGCGUUGCAUUACCUAGUUGGCGGGGUAACGGCCCACCAAGGGGACGAUGCAUAGCUGGUCUGAGAGGAUGAUCAGCCACACUGGGACUGAGACACGGCCCAGACUCCUACGGGAGGCAGCAGUGGGGAAUAUUGCGCAAUGGGGGAAACCCUGACGCAGCUACGCCGCGUGGGUGAUGAAGGCCUUGGGUUGUAAAGCCCUGUCGGGAGGGACGAAUACUGACGGUACCUCCCAAGAAAGCACGGCUAACUCCGUGCCAGCAGCCGCGGUAAU